ensembl:lncRNA
GCUCAUCAUGACUCAGCAUAUUCUCUGAAAUGGAAAGAUUUCCUUAUCUAUGGGCUCACUCAUCCUCCCAAGAUUUUGCCAAGACAGUCAAGGACAAGCUACAGGUCCUUCUGUCCUCAAUAUGAGAUAACAACAACCACUCAUUGCACUGACCAUGGGAACAAUAGUUCAUCACUCUCUCUUAACCAUUAAACUGUUUGGGAAAAUAAUAUGAGCCCUGGUUAAAUGUUUUAUCAAUUAACACUCAAUUAAUAUGCAAGUGAUCACAUGAGACGUUCUGUCUACUCUUCAUCAGGUUAAUGUGAAAUAACAUUUUAUGAAAAUAUCCCUACAACACACAUUCGCAUCAGUUCGUCGCUCAAUCGCGAGUUACAGCCUGCAGUUUGCUAGCUAACAAAGUCAUCGACUACCAUCGUUUAAAUACCUUGGCCAGAGCAUAACCGGUUAUCUUCACCCAAGAGACCUACUGUUGGUCAAUCGUUUUGGUUUUAAAGGUAAAUGCAUUGUUAGUCACAAUGUCUAGUUACUGGGCCAAAAGGAAAAUAAUAUUGAAAAGAGUUGCGAGGGACAAACAGGACAUUCACUUGAAUCACUACAUGCUACAGAAGUUGCAUCGAUUCCAGAAAACCAGGAAAAUUUUGAGCCAUCUGUAGACUUCAGAGCUGAACCAGGUUUCUCCCCAGUAAUCCAGACUCCACUUCACAGAGCCAAGAAUUUGAGUACAACUCGUCAAGUACUAAGCUUUACACCCCCAGCAGCAAAUUUACCCUGGCAGCAUAUGGGUAAAAACGCUGGAGGAGAAAGUCAUCGCUUUGUUAUUGGCCCUUGGACGCCCCUGGCAUCUCGUGUACAGCACAAAGUUUUCAGCUAUGAAGAUUUCCAGUGACUCCAGAAUGAAAACCAAGCUCUGAGGGAGGAGAACCAAGCCCUGAGGGAAUGCAAUGCACAAGCAGCUUCGGAUGACAGCGGCUCACUUCAAGAGCAGGUGAAGCAAGUAGGGACAAUGUUGAAGACGUUUGCUCUCACUGGGCAAUCAGGUACAACUUGCAAACAACACCUGUGGUUGUUAGUUUAAUACCUGUACAUGUAGUAGACCUAGAUAUAAAUGUCGUAGUUUAGUAUUUGAGUAUAUUUUUAUAUACAUAUAUAUGUCAAGUUUUGUUUAUCACAGAUACAAGAGACACAGAUCUUAUUGCAGCAUGGUGUAAAUCUUGUACUCCAGGUCAGCAAUGCCAUUAUAACGGUCUAUUCUACUCUAGAGCUUUACUCUAAAUUAUUACCACUUUUCCUAUUGUUAGAAAUGGCUUGAAAAUGUGAUGUUAUACCUCGAUUUAUUUGGUAUCCUGCACAUUCUUUGGUACCAAAUAUCCUCAUUACUUAUGUUUACUGGUAAUUAUUUUCAUCCCAGAGCUGACCUCUUUAUAUUAUUAACAAUUAUUGUGUUUGUUAUAAUUUGCUUGUAUGGC